UCUGAAUCUACUGUGGUUCUGUUGGGUCUCAGCUUGUUGUUCAGAUUUUCUUCAUCAAUUCUUUGGAUCAUUUGAACAAACUGUGAAGCUAGAAAGUGUGUGUGAGCUGAUGUGGAUUCAGCAGCAUGGAUCAGUGUGAGGACAGAGAGGAGGGAGUCCCUCCCUCUAAAACCACUUUGUGUGGGGAAGAUGAGAGCCAGAGCAAAGGUCAGAGGAUCCAUCAUAGACUAAAACCAAAACCAGAACCAGAACCAGAACCCAGCUGUGUGUCCUUUAAGAGCAACCAGUCAAAGGAUGACGUCAUUGACUUUAAAUCUCCUGGAUCUCCACCAUCA